GUAAGGAAUAUUGGUCAAUGGGCGGAAGCCUGAACCAGCCAAGUCGCGUGAAGGAAGAAGGAUCUAUGGUUCGUAAACUUCUUUUGCAGGGGAAUAAAGUGCAGGACGUGUCCUGUUUUGUAUGUACCCUGAGAAUAAGGAUCGGCUAACUCCGUGCCAGCAGCCGCGGUAAUACGGAGGAUCCGAGCGUUAUCCGGAUUUAUUGGGUUUAAAGGGUGCGUAGGUGGUUUGAUAAGUCAGCGGUGAAAGUUUGCAGCUUAACUGUAAAAAUGCCGUUGAAACUGUCGGACUUGAGUGUAAAUGAGGUAGGCGGAAUGCGUGGUGUAGCGGUGAAAUGCAUAGAUAUCACGCAGAACUCCGAUUGCGAAGGCAGCUUACUAAGCUACAACUGACACUGAAGCACGAAAGCGUGGGGAUCAAACAGGAUUAGAAACCCUUGUAGUCC
rnacentral:rRNA from 1 species